rnacentral:lncRNA from 1 species
AAUAGUAGCUGUAAAAUAUUACAAGUUACAACAGCCAGACUCAUGAAUCUAAUGAAGGCCACAAACUGAUUGCUGUCAAUCAUAUUAUUACUGUUAAAGCCAGCAGCAAUAUCUGAGAGCUAUACUAUGUUUGGGUGUGUGGUGAGAUCUGACUACUGCCAUUUUCUUCCUUAGGCAAUCCAACUUCCACACAAAAUAGUGUCCUUUUUUUAAUGGGGGCAAGAUCAGAUACAAUACGAUCCAUGGUCUCAACAAGACUCCAGACUGAGAUUUCUUAGUAAUCUGUACAGUUCUCUGCGCUGGACUCUCACUUUUCAGAAUGAUGAAAGCAUGUUGCACAGGAGUCACAGAUACUGCUGCUGAGUUGGGGAUCACUGAAGCACAACGAGCUUCACACUGA